CGCACGGGUGAGUAAUAUAUAGUUAACCUGCCCUAGAGAAGGGGAUAACGUUUGGAAACGGACGCUAACACCCUAUAUGCCUUUAAUACAUAAGUAUGCAAGGGAAACAUUUAUGGCUCUAGGAUGGGACUGUACGGUAUCAAUUAGUUGGUGAGGUAAUGGCUCACCAAGACAAUGACACCUAACUGGUUUGAGGGGAUGAUCAGUCACACUGGAACUGAGACACGGUCCAG
rnacentral:rRNA from 1 species